GACGAACGCUGGCGGCGUGCUUAACACAUGCAAGUCGAACGGAAAGGCCCUGCUUUUGUGGGGUGCUCGAGUGGCGAACGGGUGAGUAACACGUGAGUAACCUGCCCUUGACUUUGGGAUAACUUCAGGAAACUGGGGCUAAUACCGGAUAGGAGCUCCUGCUGCAUGGUGGGGGUUGGAAAGUUUCGGCGGUUGGGGAUGGACUCGCGGCUUAUCAGCUUGUUGGUGGGGUAGUGGCUUACCAAGGCUUUGACGGGUAGCCGGCCUGAGAGGGUGACCGGCCACAUGGGGACGGAGAUACGGCCCAGACCCCUACGGGGGGGAACAGGGGGGAAUAUUGCACAAGGGGCGGAAGCCUGAGGCGGCAACCCCGCGGGCGGGAAGCGGGCCUUCGGGUUGGAAACCGCUUUCGCCUGGGAAGAAGGGGGGGGGACGGUAAUGGGUAAAGGAGCACCGGCUAACUACGU
rnacentral:rRNA from 1 species